rnacentral:ncRNA from 2 species
UACAGAGGUCUCAAGCGUUGUUCGGAAUCACUGGGCGUAAAGGGUGCGUAGGUGGCGUGGUAAGUCAGAUGUGAAAGCCCGGGGCUCAACCUCGGAAUUGCAUCCGAUACUGCCAUGCUCGAGUACUGAAGAGGUGACUAGAAUUCUAGGUGUAGCAGUGAAAUGCGUAGAUAUCUAGAGGAAUACCAAAGGCGAAGGCAGGUCACUGGGCAGUUACUGACACUGAGGCACGAAGGCCAGGGGAGCGAACGGG